rnacentral:rRNA from 1 species
AGGGUUUGAUCAUGGCUCAGGAUGAACGCUGGCGGCGUGCUUAACACAUGCAAGUCGAACGAAGCGAUGGAGAACAAUCUUUUCGGAGUGCGUUUUCUAUUGACUGAGUGGCGGACGGGUGAGUAACGCGUGGGUAACCUGCCCUAUACAGGGGGAUAACAGUUAGAAAUGACUGCUAAUACCGCAUAAGCGCACAGCUUCGCAUGAAGCGGUGUGAAAAACUGAGGUGGUAUAGGAUGGACCCGCGUUGGAUUAGCUAGUUGGAGAGGUAACGGCUCACCAAGGCGACGAUCCAUAGCCGGCCUGAGAGGGUGAACGGCCACAUUGGGACUGAGACACGGCCCAA